GGGGCGGAUAAGGAAAGAUGGCUGCCCCGGCAUAUCGUCGGGGAGGAAAGUCCGGGCUCCGGCAAGACAGCGUAAUGGGAUAAUUCCCAUCCUUCAGGUUAAAUCCUGAGGAGGAUUUCUGUUCGGGGGCUAUAUUUAGAACAGACCCGUUAGUGUUUUUUUACGGGAGAGCCACAGAGACGAGCGCCCCAGCAUAAACGGGGCGGGUGAAACGCGGCAAUCUCUACGCGGAGCAAGGUCGAAUAGGAGACGAGAGUAGGUCUUGGCUCGCUUUUAGUCUCGGGUAGACUGCUAAUGGGCUGGUAGUAAUAUCAGCCUUGAGAUAAAUGGCCAUCAAAACAGAACCCGGCUUACAAUUCUGCCCCCGCG
rnacentral:RNase_P_RNA from 1 species